rnacentral:rRNA from 1 species
AGAGCAGGGGGGGCGCCAGCCGGGUGUAUCACGGUCGUGCUAAAGUGGUGGCCGCAAGUCUAGUUCAUAAGGUUAAAUAGUAGGCUGGUGAUAAGUCUGUGGAGUUAUAACUCAUAAAGUGUCAGGGGUUCAGAAGCUAGUGUCUGGUUCGAGGCCGGGGGGGGUGGGGGGAGGUUCAGGGGUAGGGGUGGAAUCAAGUUAUCCUUGAAGGACCACCAGUGGCGAAGGCGUCUCACCAGAACAGACCUGACGGCAAGGGACGAAAGCUAGGGGCACGAACCGGAUUAGAUACCCGGGUAGUCCUAGCCGUAAACGAUACUCGCUAGGUGUCGGCCACGGUGCGACCGUUGUCGGUGCCGUAGGGAAGCCGUGAAGCGAGCCACCUGGGAAGUACGGCCGCAAGGCUGAAACUUAAAGGAAUUGGCGGGGGAGCACCACAACGGGUGGAGCUUGCGGUUUAAUUGGAUUCAACGCCGGAAAUCUUACCGGGACCGACA